UGGGGAAUUGUUCGCAAUGGGCGCAAGCCUGACGACGCAACGCCGCGUGGAGGAUGAAGGUCUUCGGAUUGUAAACUCCUGUUGCCCGGGACGAAAAGCUCUGACCUAACACGUUAGAGUCUGACGGUACCGGGUGAGGAAGCCCCGGCUAACUCUGUGCCAGCAGCCGCGGUAAUACAGAGGGGGCAAGCGUUGUUCGGAAUUACUGGGCGUAAAGGGCGCGUAGGCGGCCUGUUAAGUCGAACGUGAAAUCCCCGGGCUCAACCCGGGAACUGCGUCCGAUACUGGCUGGCUUGAAUCCGGGAGAGGGAUGCGGAAUUCCAGGUGUAGCGGUGAAAUGCGUAGAUAUCUGGAGGAACACCGGUGGCGAAGGCGGCAUCCUGGACCGGUAUUGACGCUGAGGCGCGAAAGCCAGGGGAGCAAACGGGAUUAGAUACCCCCGUAGUCCCUGAGCGGGCUGGCAAGGCGCAU
rnacentral:rRNA from 1 species